GUCUGAAGGCAGACCCCCGCAGCUAAUGCCCUUUUGUGGGGAGCAAUGUCUCACUCCAGGGAAGACAGAGGGACUAGAGACUGAAUUCAAUCACCAAUGGCCAAUGAUUUCAUCAAUCAUGACUAUGAAUGAAACCUCCAAAAAAGAAAAAAAAAACAAAACCCCUAGAUGAUGAAGUUCAGAGAGCUUCCAAGUUUGAAUACAUCUGCAUGCUAGAAGGGUGAUGCACCCUGACUCCAUGAGGGCAGUGGCUCCUGUGCAGGGAUAUCAUCCUGAAGUACCUGGGCAGCCCACUCCUGCCCACUACCAUGAGUCAUCUUAUUCGGACACAAAGCCAGUAAUAGAGUGUGAGUAGCCCAUGGCGACCUUC
rnacentral:lncRNA from 10 species